rnacentral:rRNA from 1 species
UGGAUCCAGACUUUGAUCCUGGCUCAGGAUGAACGCUAGCUACAGGCUUAACACAUGCAAGUCGAGGGGAAACGACAUCGAAAGCUUGCUUUUGAUGGGCGUCGACCGGCGCACGGGUGAGUAACGCGUAUCCAACCUGCCCACCACUUGGGGAUAACCUUGCGAAAGUAAGACUAAUACCCAAUGAUAUCUCUAGAAGACAUCUGAAAGGGAUUAAAGAUUUAUCGGUGAUGGAUGGGGAUGCGUCUGAUUAGCUUGUUGGCGGGGUAACGGCCCACCAAGGCGACGAUCAGUAGGGGUUCUGAGAGGAAGGUCCCCCACAUUGGAACUGAGACACGGUCCAAACUCCUACGGGAGGCAGCAGUGAGGAAUAUUGGUCAAUGGGCGAGAGCCUGAACCAGCCAAGUAGCGUGCAGGAUGACGGCCCUAUGGGUUGUAAACUGCUUUUAUAAGGGAAUAAAGUGAGCCUCGUGAGGCUUUUUGCAUGUACCUUAUGAAUAAGGACCGGCUAAUUCCGUGCCAGCAGCCGCGGUAAUACGGAAGGUCCGGGCGUUAUCCGGAUUUAUUGGGUUUAAAGGGAGCGUAGGCCGGAGAUUAAGCGUGUUGUGAAAUGUAGAUGCUCAACAUCUGCACUGCAGCGCGAACUGGUUUCCUUGAGUACGCACAAAGUGGGCGGAAUUCGUGGUGUAGCGGUGAAAUGCUUAGAUAUCACGAAGAACUCCGAUUGCGAAGGCAGCUCACUGGAGCGCAACUGACGCUGAAGCUCGAAAGUGCGGGUAUCGAACAGGAUUAGAUACCCUGGUAGUCCGCACGGUAAACGAUGGAUGCCCGCUGUUGGUCUGAAUAGGUCAGCGGCCAAGCGAAAGCAUUAAGCAUCCCACCUGGGGAGUACGCCGGCAACGGUGCAACUCAA